UAUGGCGGUAAUUGCGGUGAGGAUCCACCUCUUCCCAUUCCGAACAGAGAAGUUAAGCUCAUCAGCGCCGAUGGUACUGCGAAAGCGGGAGAGUAGGUCGCCGCCUCCC
rnacentral:rRNA from 1 species